ensembl:lncRNA PITX1-AS1 PITX1 antisense RNA 1
GAUCAAGAGGGGCUGUCAGUCCAACCCUCCAGCUGUAGGCUCGUGCAUCUGCCAGUCUCUUGGCGCGUGGGGACCGCGUGGAAGUGCCUUCGCGUGUGCGUGCCAGCUGAGAUGAGACGUGGAAGCUGGAGGGGUCCGGCAUCCCAGAGAGGCGUGAGGCUCCCAAACGGCAUCCUUAGAAACAUCUCAAGACUUGCUGGAUGUUUGAAGGUCUCUCUGGAUUCCUAGCAGGUGGUCUGAUGCUCGAAGGUUUCCCACAGCUGGAUGGGAGGGAAUUCAGCACCACCUGCUCAGGUCCACCCUAAUAACAUCAGCCAAGGCCUCUACAGCAGCCCCCAAGCUGCCUCUGGAUAGUUCAGACAAGGCCUCUGUGCUGUGAUGGAACCAGGUGACCCGCAGCCUCCGGGCCAGGGAGAGAAGACAGAUUUCCCUCAUGCAGGAAGACGUCUGACUCUGUGGCAAGCAGCUCUAUGUUGCAAUCUCCCUGUGAAAUCGCCUCAUAAGAAGAGUUAAAAGGAGGAACUAAAGGAGGCUGUGGAGAGAGACAUGUGCCCUAUAACA